GCCGCAGGAGUCAAGACAGAGGGCUCCGAGUUGAGACACGCAGCGAGCCACGCAGCGAGCACAGUCGCCGGGGUUGAGGUCGCCUCUGCAUUGGUAGAGGCCGGAGACGGUGUCCUGAGAGGUGGGGCCAGGGACGGUGUACUUGUUGUAGAGGGCGGCGAUGCCAGGAGCCGAGGCUGAGUUGACGAGGGAGGUGAGAAUAGAAUUGACGUUGGACUCGUAGGGUGAGCCCUGAACGUACCUUAUCUGAGCGCACCCACCAAAGAUGAAGGUGUCUAUGGCAGAGAUUGAAGGGCUUGGCAGAGCUGAGAAGGUG
rnacentral:lncRNA from 1 species